CCCUUAGAUGUUCUGGGCCGCACACGCGCUACACUGAAGGAGGCAGCGUGUACUCCUGGAUCGAAAGAUUUGGGUAACCCGCGAAUCUCCUUCGUGCUAGGGAUUGAGGUUUGCAAUUAUCCUUCAUGAACGAGGAAUUCCCAGUAAGUGCAAGUCAUAAGCUUGCGCUGACUACGUCCCUGCCCUUUGUACACACCGCCCGUCGCUCCUACCGAGUGGGUGAUCCGGUGAACUAUUCGGACUCCGGUUAUUCCAGCAUUUGGUUUUGCUGGGGAAAGUUUCGUGAACCUUAUCACUUGGAGGAAGGAGAANUCGUANCA
rnacentral:rRNA from 1 species